UACGGGGGGAGCAAGCGUUGUUCGGAUUUACUGGGCGUAAAGGGCGCGUAGGCGGCCACCGCAAGUCGACUGUGAAAUCUCCGGGCUUAACCCGGAAAGGUCAAUCGAUACUGCGGGGCUAGAGUGCAGAAGGGGCAACUGGAAUUCUCGGUGUAGCGGUGAAAUGCGUAGAUAUCGAGAGGAACACCUGCGGCGAAGGCGGGUUGCUGGGCUGACACUGACGCUGAAGCGCGAAAGCUAGGGGAGCGAACGGG
rnacentral:rRNA from 1 species